GUGAAGAGGUGAAAGAGGAAGAAAUACAAAUAGAAGACGAACGUUUCACGGUGAAAUAUCAGAGAGCAAUAGCUUGUGAACUUCCAGACAGAUGGGAAGAUUUUGAGAUACCAGAGCCAGAUAACAGUCAGUCUAAGUCCUCUGCUGAUACAACACGGGAACCGGAAUCAAAUAAAGCACCAGAGCUUCCACCAAGGAGACCUAAACAACAAAAGCCAACGGGAAGAGACCAAGAGCAUAUACCACCAAAUGCAUGGCCUCCAGGACCCUAUGGUGCUAUGUCAGGACUUUAUCAUAACCUACCAAUUUAUCCUCAGGCAGAUGAUGGUGGAAAUAUGAGCCAAGGCAAUAUGCAUCAACAAAUGCAUUUGUAUACAAAUACACAAGGUCAGCCUCCCAUGCAAGCACGUGAACACCAGCAAGGUCGAUCCCCAGGCAUGGGUCCGCAACAAGGUCAACGGCAAAAUUUUCAGUAUGGCCCCAGUGGUCAAGGACAGUUUCCACCAGGUUUUCCUAUGUUUGCAGUGACCCCAACAUUUCAGUCUGACCGAACUAAUGCACCAGGAGGACAAGACAUGACAUUUGGACGUGGAAUACGUAUGCCUGUACCAAUGUAUAUUGACCCUAAUACCGGCGAGUUGCUCCCAUUUUCUGGUCUAGGAUAUUCGAAAAAGAGAUACCAGCAAGCUGAUUUGGGAGAGCAUCGGCAGCGGUCUACUAAACCAUCACCGCCCUACGAUGGUGGAAUGUUCAAAGGGGUUACUCAGUCACCAACGGACAUGCCUGGUUCUGAGCAUGGAACAAUGAAUAAGGAAUCAGCAUAUGGAACAGAGGAACCAGAGAUGCCAGAUGAGACGCUAACAAAAAUAGUGGUCAGCAAACUUCCGUCAACUGUUGAUGAAAUCUAUUUAGAAAUGUUUUUUGAGGAUGAGAAAAAGUUUGGCGACGGUAUUACUGUGGAACAUGUCGAUAUUGAUGAAGAAGAUGCUACUGCUAUUGUGCAGUUUGAUCAACCAAAAAGUGCUGAUAUGGUUCUUAGCAAAUGCCCAAUCGUAAUGAUGGGGCAAGAAGUUGAAGUAGCCGUAUUCAAGCCAGAGCCUCCAGUUUCACUGUGUACUAUCAAAGUGACUGGUCCUCGCACUUUAGUAUGUGAAGAAAAGCUAGAGGUAUUGAAAAUGUAUUUUGGGAGUAAAAGACGUUCCGGUGGAGGUGACAUAGUUAACAGCAAAUAUGACUCUGAAAUGAAUAUGGUUCUUAUCACAUUUAAAAAACCAGAAGAUGCUCAGAAUGUGAUAGAAAGAAGGAAUCAUAUUAUAAAGAAAGAAAAACUGAAUGUUAGUCUGUAUAGUCUUACCGGACAGUCCAAAAAGGCAUACAAAACAGAAGAAACUACAGAAAACAAGCCAGAUAAACCAAGAACAAUCAAAGUAAAAGGUGUGGACAAAUCGACAUCUAGAGAUACUUUGGAGUUUUACUUUGAAAAUUCAAGACGGUCUGGAGGUGGCGAAAUCGAAAACAUCAGAAGUGAUGUGGAGGAAGGGGAUGUUCUCUAUAUCACAUUUAAAGACAUACAGGACGCAGUUAAAGUAGUGGAAAAAGGUCAUCACAGAGUCGACGGCAAAGAGCUGUAUGUUUCGCUGUAUUUGCCUCCAACACUGCCCCCGACUUAUGAGAACAAGAUUCUUAUCAAAGGAUUAAAAUCAGACACAACAUAUGAUUGUUUGUACAACUUCAUACAGGCAAAGACAGGAUAUAAACCAGAUUCCAUGUUCUGGCAUUCAGAACAAGAAGAUGUUGUCAUGGUUACCUUUAGGGACAACCCAGAUUUCCAGGAACUCGAGAUGAUAUUCGGAAAAAAUAAAUUGGAAGGGACCACGCUGAAGGUUUAUCAAAUUCCAAUAUCUAGCUGUAUAAUAGUGGCUAACCUGCCAUCGGAAGUUACCAAAGACACUAUUGAGUUCUACUUUGAAAACACUCGAAAAAGUGGCGGGGGACAGGUUGAGAAAGUGGUGAUGAAUGAUGAUGAUGACACUUGCCUUGUCUACUUUGCUGACUAUUCAAAAAUUGACACAGUCAUUGGAAGAAAACAUGUAUUGAGUAAGCAACAAUUAGAAGUGAAGCGAUACCAGGAAUGUCUAGGACGCCCUGAAGGAGAAGUCUGUGAAAGGAAACUAAAUCUACCUGAUUCUCUGAAGAUAAAAGAUAUUUGUCCUCAUAAACAGAAAUUUUUAAAAGCUUCUAAAUAUUAUCAUGAAGCUCUAGAGAAACAAAUGCAGAGCUGCCAUGCGCGUGUUGUAUUGCCUACAGAUGGUGCGGACGUAACUUUGACAUGUUCUAUAUCAAAAAAUGUAGAGAACUGUUUUAAACUUGUUAAAACAUGGAAAAUGGAGGCAGAGAAAUGUUUUGACCAUUUCUUAAAUACAAUCGCUGUCCAUCAGAUAAGAGUUUUGCAAGAAAAUUGGGAUAGGGCUGAGGAACGAUUGAAGACGAUUACAAGAAAUGGUCUGGAUGAUGUUGCAGUGUUUUUAGAAAAGAAUGAUGGCAUUGUAACAGUUGUUGGAAACAAGCACCCUGUUGAAAAUGUUGCAAAGAGCAUUUACGAAAUACUACAGAAAAUCGCAGAAGAAGCUCAAAUAGUUAAGGAAACAUUCAACAGUUUAAAGUCUUUAGAGACAAGAUUGCUUCUUGUCGACAAAUUUCCGGCUAAGGUUGAGGAAAUGUUUCCAGAAGUGAAAGUAAAAAUCAAUCAAGAGAAAAAUGAAAUAUUGUUUGAAGGGUCUAGAACAAAUGUACGCGAUGCCAAAUUAAAAUUGUAUGAAAUGAAAAGCAAAUAUGCACAAAGGUCACUUGAAAACAUAUCAACACUUUCAGGAGGACUUCUUAAAGUGAAGCAGACAAAAGACUAUAUUGUGAAAAAAAUGAAAAUGCAUCAGGUGACUGGAGUUUGGGAAAUACAGGGACAAACACUGGUAAUUUUCAGUACAUCAGAACAAACGAUUGAUCAGUGCGUAAGCAUAAUCCGUGAAUCAGUUAUCGAACAAUGUGUAGGAUUAACAAAAUCAUCUGCGUCAGUUAUGAAUUCAGAGGCCUGGCAGUAUAAGGUAGCAGAAUGGCACUCUCAGUAUGCUGGAAAGGCACACAUUGCUGUUGAAAAUUGUAUGACUAAGGUUGCGAUUUGUUCUACAGAUGAUAUCGCAAACGAACUUUUAGAUAGCGUGAAGAUUUUUUUGGGUUCCAACACAGUUUUAGAAGAAAACAUAACUUGUAACAAACAUCUGCACAAAUUGAUAGAAAAGCAUCACAAAAAUGAAAUCAGUCAAAUAUGUAAACAGUUACAGAGUUACCAUGUAAGCAUAACUUCUUCAGAAUAUACUGGAUGUAGGGUAUGUGGCACUGAAGACGGAAUUAUCAAGUCAAAAGAAUUACUAAACAAACUGUUUAAUAAAGUCAAGCAAAAAGAUCGCACAGUAGCAAAACAAGACUUAGUUCAUCAAAUGAAAACGCAUUGCAGUAUGGACGAUUUCAGUGCUACAGAAAGAUCCGUUCCUCAUGUCAUAUCAUUGAAAGAUGAACGGGACAAAGAGCAAGUCGUAGAGUGCAAUACUUUAUCUGCAAUCAAUGGGAAAAGAAACAAAAUUAAGGUGAAAGCUAGCUGUAAAGCGUAUGGCAACAGGAAUGUGUACACCGCAGUUGGUGACCUAGCUGACAUGCCUGUACAAUUCCUCGUAAGUGCUGCCGAUGAAACAAUAAGUCUCAGCGAGGGACUUGGAAAAGCAUUGGUUUUAAAAGGAAAACUGAAAGCAGAUUAUAUUGUUCAUGUUAUUGGACCGGUUUGGAGAGGUGGAGAAAACAACGAGGAGGAUAUGUUGGAGAAGGCGGUUCUUAAAUGUAUGCAGCAAGCUUCUGAAAAGGGUGCGACAUCAAUGGCAAUGCCUGCAAUCAGUUGCGGUGCAUUUGGUUAUCCAGUUAAACAGGGUACCAAAACAAUAGUAAAAGCUAUGAAAAACUUCUUUAAUGAAGUCCAAGAGAGCCCUAUAUCAGAUAUAUAUCUGUGCGAUGUUAAAUGCAACACAGUCGAUAGCUUCACAGACGCCUUAAAAACGGAAUUUGACAACAUACAGAUUGAGGAUGAGUCUGAAGAGGACGAUAAUGAAUCAUAUUUAGGCUUAUCCCCGCAAUCCAGAUCAGUCUACUAUCCACGCCAACAAAUGGCAGAACUGGGUAGUGAUGAUGUGCAUGAUGAUGAGUAUUACACAAGCUCAGAUACGUUUGUGAUCACUGGCCGCCGUAAAGUGGAAGAAAAUGAGUUAGAUGUUGCUCUCAGUAAUCCUCCAGUAUCAUCACCAUCCUACAAAAACAAGAUUCUCAUUAAAGGAUUAAAGCCAACCACAACACAGGAUUGUUUGUUCAACUUCAUAGAAGCAAAAACAGGAUCUAUACCGGAUACAAUGGACUAUCAUGCAGAACAAAAAGAUGUUGUCAUGGUUACCUUUACUGAAAAUCCAGAUUUCCGGGAAUUAGAGAAGGUAUUUGGAAAAAACAGAUUGGAAGGAGCCUCACUGAAGCUAUACCCUGUUCCAGUAUCUAACUGUAUAAUAGUGGCUAAUCUAGCAUCGGAAGUAACGAAAGACACUAUCGUGUACUACUUUGAAAAUACUCGAAAAAGUGGUGGUGGACAAGUUGAGAAGGUAGUGAUGAAUGAAAGUCAUACCUGCCUCGUAUACUUUGCAGAUUUUAAAUUAAUUGAUACAGUUUUAGAGAGGAAACACAAAUUAUGUGGAAAACAUCUUAAUGUGAAACGGUAUCAGGAUUGCCUUGGCAGAUCAGAAGGAGAAAUAGCUGAAAGAAUGUUACGUAAACCAGAAGAGUUAGUGCUAAAGGGUGUUGACCCUCAAAAAUUAAAAUUCAUGAAACAUUCAAACGUGAAUCGCUCAGCUUUAGAAGAACAGCUGAACACUAAGAUAUGUUGGCCUGAUGAAACUGGACAUGUUGUAUUGACAUGUACAUUAACAAGAGAAGUGAAGGACUGUUUAAGAUUGGUAAAGCAAUGGAAGGAGACAGCAGAGCAGAACUUUAGAGACUUCAUGAAUGACAUUAUCGUUAACAAAGUGCAAGUGCUGCAUGAUAUUUGGUCUAAAGUAAUGGAAGAACUAAAAAGUGUCACAAUAGAAAAUCCAGAAGCUGUUGCUAUAUUUGCAGAUAAAAAUGAGGGCACUAUAAUAGCUGUAGGGAACAAACUUGUUACUGAAUGUCUUUCAAAGAAGAUUGAUGACAUCAUAAAAAAGGUUAUGGCAGAAGAAGAGAAGGAACGUGAAAAAAUUAAAGAAGAUGUCACGUGGAUGAAAUUUAUUGAAACGAAAAUGCUUUUAGCUGAUAAUUUUCCCACAAAAAUGGAGAAACUUUUCCCUGAUCUAAAGGUGAAAAUAAACCAACGCAAAAACGAGAUUGUUUUUGAAGGACCAUUAAACCAGGUACGUGAUGCAAAGUUGAAGAUGUAUGAAAUUAAAAGCAGAUUUGCAACAGCCAGUAUUGACAAAAUAUCCGAUCUAGCUGCCAGAUUGUUUCUUUUGAAGCAAACGAAAGAUCAUAUAGUGAAAAAAUUAAAUGCUAGUCAUCUCGAUGCGGUAUGGGAUAUCAUAGACGGGGGUUUGGUUGUAUACAGCACAUCUGAUGAACAAAUUCAAGAUUGUUUGAGUGUAAUACGUGGGUCAGUCAUUGAAAACACUAUUUCUCUUACAAGCGCUUCCAAAACAUUGGUGGGCUCAGAAAGUUGGCAAACUAAAGUUGAUGAAUUACAUGCCCACCAUACAGGAAAAAGCUGGAUGAAAGUAUCAGAGGGUGGUAGUAAAGUUCAGAUUUGUGCUACUGAUGAUAUAUCAAAUGAAAUAGUAGAUAGUGUGAAAAAAUUCCUUGGUUUGAACAAUGUGACAGAAGUAAAAGUUACAUGUACUAAGAAUAUCCAUCGUCUGAUUGAAAGGCAUCAUAAAAACGAACUUCAAAAUAUUGCAAAACGUUUACAGCGCAGUCGUGUACAGAUAGUGUCAAUACCGGGAUGUGGAGGAUUUGAAGUCCAUGGAACAGAAGAUGGUAUCCAAGAAGCAAGAUCAAAUCUGUUGGCAUUAUUGAAAAGAGUCCAACAGCGUGAAUAUAUCUUGAGCAAACCGGGCUUAGCUCAACACAUGAAAACCGCGAAAGGAAAAGAUAACCUUAACACAGUAGAAAGUACACUGGCAUGUGUGGUGUCGGUGAAGGGUGAUGAUAAUGCUGAGGAAGUUUGUGACGAUCCCUAUGAUACAAUUAAAGCAGAUAGUGAAGUGAAUGAAAAUAUUGGACUUAAAGGUCUAAAAAUCAUAGGUUAUUGUAAGGCAUAUGAUUGCAGGAAUAUAUAUACAGCAGAGGGGGACAUGACAGAACUGACUGUUGAUAUGAUUGUAAACUCAGUCGAUGACAAACUCAAUUUAACUGGAAGACUUGGUAAAGCUCUCGUACAGAAAGGUAUAUUAGAUACUUUUAACUUUCUCACCCAUUAUAUCUUAUUAAAACUGUGCGCUGUUGCACACCUAUGAAUAAGAUUAGUACUUGAAAUAACAUUUUGAUAGUGAGAAGCUUGAUAGAGCUUUUUCCAAACUUUGCUAUUUGUGACGUUAUACAGAAAUAUUUUAAAUUGUAAGAAAAAUGCUACUCGAAGAAUAACUUAAAAUGUCUUUUUGAGGGAUUAAAUGUUACACUGUCACUAUAGGUCAUAAUACAUUAUGACGACAUUCCAACUUUUGAUUAUAUACGAAAAUCUCAUAUGCCCCUCUGCGCAAAUGGUGGCGUCGGGAUAAAUUAUUGAUUUUCUGUAAUUCAGCUUGAUAAUAUUCUGACAUAAAUGACUCUCUACCGCAAGUAAGGUUUCGCACCCACAGCGACGAGGGGCCUGUGACUCAAAACAACGACCUUGACGACAAGGUGGCGAAGCACAACCCUUGAUAUCAAUAAGUAACGUUUUCUUUAACUGCAGAAUAAUCUUUAUCGGCAAUGUAGCGAAUGCAGUUGAACUAAGAUAAAAAUCUUCAACUUUAAUCUUUAACUGCAUCAAAGUACACAGUCGGUUAAAAAUAUUUAAAAUUUCAUUUUCAGAAAAAGAGCUGAAAAAAAUAAUCACGUGUAAAAUAUUUAGAAAAAAAUGGAGACAACUCCGCUAAGACUUUAUUGUAGGCUUCGGCAAUUUUGACCUAGUAUCUUAUUCAAACCCUUACCUAUAAGCUUUAGAAAAGCAUACGCAAUUACUAUGUAAAGAUAGAAUCAGUUAUGUCCAAGGGAAAGUGUGACAUUUCUUGUGGUAAAAUGUGCAGACGGACGAUUUUUUAAAACUAAGUCUUAUAAAGACGCAGAAUGUCACAAUGUAAAAUAUGUUGAAAAACCUUUCGCUGGAAGGAGAACAGUCUGUGCUAUUAAAAUAAUAUGUGACAAAGUAUGGAAAAAUAUCUAGAAAUAUGAGAAAACCAAAGAAAUCAAUUUCAGGACUGUUAGAUGCAUGACUGCGUUACGCAAUUUACAGAGAUAGCUAAAUUUCCAUCGCACUGAUAUAACAUAGUCAGGAUAAGGAUUGGCAAAUGUCAUUCACGCUAUAAUUUUAAAAUCUAUAAACAAAUUGAUGCCUUUUUUUUAAAACAGCUCCAUGUAGCGUUCUUACAUAACUCAUUCUCGCAUACCACAGGUUUAUCAUGGUUUCCUAGAUGUCUGGAAAAGUUUGCUGAUAUUGUAUGUUUGAUUAUUUUACAAGUAAAACGGUUCAGUCAAUCAGCGACGCUACAACUGUUCGAGAACCAAUCAAAAUCGGUCUUGAAAGCGAGACCGCGUCGUUUUCUCCUGUAUAAAAAUUCCAGCCAUACUUCCCAUGGACUCAGGGUGGAAUCAGGGUUAAAGGACACAAAGAUUCAAAAUUGUGGCCUGAAUUGUCAUGGAUCCUGACUCUGCUGAAAGUCCGCAUGGAAAAUAAAAUGAGAACUUGUCUACCCUGACUCAAGUUGAACAAAGACAAUAUUUAGGGUGGAAUGUAGAAAAUAUGCACUUUGGUUAUUUUGUGAGGCAGAAUAUUUUCACUUCAGAAAAUUUUCUAUCCUCACUUUUAUAACUUAGAUUUUUUUUUCACAUGUGAUUUUAAAACUAAGUUACUUUCAAGACCCUGCUUUUUGUACUUAUUUGUAAUAAAUCACAUGCGUAUGAAGAAUACUCUCGAGAUGACCGCAAACAGACAAAACUGGCCCUUUCAAAAAGUCAUGUUAUGCAUAUUCUGACAUUCUCAUUCUGUCAAAGUGUACAUGUACCUACUAUUCCAUAUUCACUCUAUUCAGUUAUGCCAUUCAUUGAAGAUCUUUCACUCACAAACUCACCAAUAUUCACCAUCAAGCAGAGGAACUAUUUUUACAUAACCACUUCCUUAUUGUGCCUGCAAGCAUCAGGCAAGAUGCAAAGAAAUAGAUCUUGCCCAUUCUCCUGAUUAAAAAAGAAAGAAAUGUAUAUAAAAAGGAUGUUUUCACAAUAGCUCUUCAACUAAAACAUUCGACAACCUUCUUUAGCUGUCGAAAAUAGUGUAGGUGGGGAAUCAUUAUCUGUGUAGUAAUACCAAAAUUUGACAUCUGGCACUGACGUGUCACUCAAGGAAAAAAUGGAAACACAUUAUGCGAGGUAAGAAUAUUAUACUUUUUUUAAUUAUUGCUGUCUAGCCCUUUAACAACGUCUUACUUACUUACUCUAAACAAAUACCUGAAUUUGAAACAACAGUUACAAAGUAACAGCUUGAAUAAAAACAACAAAUCUCCUUUUUGUGUCAGAGGAAGUUCGGCAGUUUGAUAAAUCUCAGAUAUAUUGUCUGGAACAUGGCUCAAUCAUGUUUAAAACAUUGCUGGUAAAACUGUAUUAUUUUGUAAUAAUUAACAUUAUUAUUCAUCACCUAAGAUAUAAUGUGUACUUUAAACUGUUUAUACCAGGAACCUUCUGCGAAAAAAGUGCAACUUUAUGACAUGAUCUGUCUGACUGUAUAAACCUGAGCAACAUACAGCUUAUUACCCCAGAAAAGAAACAUAUCAAGAUAAUUCUGCAUCAGAGGUGUGGCGAAGAAAAUCUCAUCAUCUUCAGUGGUUUCUUGGUGGGAAAUUGACAUCUGAAAAUUAUAAACAGAUUGUUCUAAUCAUGUGUAUAGACUCUCUGUACGCCCAACCGGAAGUCGCCAAAAACUAGGCGUUCAGAAAUCAAAACACAAAGUUUUGAGUCGCGGAUGGCUUGGAUUUUCAUUGUUUAUUUCGUUAAUAUCGUAUAAAGUUAUAUGCCAGCAUUUUGCAAAGAUUUUCUAAUGAAGAAGUGAAUUUGGCAGUCAUCCAUCCGACAAGAUAACUUUUCAAGAUUUUUCUAAAAAUAUAAAGACAAAGUGGAAAAUGAUAUAUGAUGUUGGACUCAGCGAUAGACCUUCUCUGUGUUACAUGAAUAAAGUCAUUAUAUAUAUAUAUAUAUUUUAUACAUAAUAAUUAUACAUAAAGGAUUUUAAUGUGUUUCAUGUCAGGAGCCGGUUGGAAUGUGAACUGAAGCUAAACUGAAAAAAAAAGAAUUCUGAUUAAAAAUACAAGUCCACCAUGACUUUUAUCUAAAUUCCAUGUCAGUAUGGCUGUAUUCAAUUUAUUUUUCAGCCUUACUCUUUUUUUUAGGAUGGAUUUUUAUCAGGUUGGCUGUUUUUCUGUCUAAUUUAAAUAUUUCACGUAAAAUUCGAGCCUGAAAGUGUUCUUUAGAUGUAUUAAAAUUGUUAAAAAUAGAAUUAAGGUUAAAACAUUCCAUCUUGAUUCCACCCUUACUUUUAUCUAAAUUCCAUGUCAGUUUGCCUGUAUGUGAACUUUUCUCUUGAGUUUCCAGCCUUGAAAUAUUUCAGUAUGGCUUUUUAUCAGGGUAGAUGUUUUUUUAUACAUAAUAAUUAUACAUAAAGGAUUUUAAUGUGUUUCAUGUCAGGAGCCGGUUGGAAUGUGAACUGAAGCUAAACUGAAACAAAAAAAGAAUUCUGGUUAAAAAUACAAGUCCACCAUGACUUUUAUCUAAAUUCCAUGUCAGUAUGGCUGUAUUCAAUUUAUUUUCAGCCUUAUUUUUUUUCAGGAUGGAUUUUUAUCAGGUUGGAUGUUUUUCUGUCUAAUUUAAAUAUUUCACGUAAAAUUCGAGCCUGAAAGUGUUCUUUAGAUGUAUUAAAACUGUUAAAAAUAGAAUUAAGGUUAAAACAUUCCAUCUUGAUUCCACCCUUACUUUUAUCUAAAUUCCAUGUCAGUUUGCCUGUAUUCCAUGUGAACUUUUCUCUUGAGUUUCCAGCCUUGAAAUUUUUCAGUAUUGCUUUUUAUCAGGGUAGAUGUUUUUCUGUCUAAUUUAGAUUUUUCAUGUGAAAGUUUAAUCUCAAUUUGUUCUUCAGUUAUAUUAAAGAUGUUUAAAAAUGUAAUUCUGGUUGUUCUGCAGUAUGAGAAAUUGCAACCUGAUAUUUUCUCAAUAAUCCAUCUACAGGCAGUUAGUUAUACGUGUGGAUCAUUUCGUUACAAUAAUGAUCAUAUGGCAUCUUUCCAGCUUUUUGAGAUGGAGGAACCCAAGGUGCCCCAACAUGCAUUUUGUGUAUUUGUGUUAUACACUUAGCACGUUGAAGAACCAGACUGUCAAUUCGCAAUGAGCUAGGCUAAGUAAGCCGAACAAGCCUGUAUCUAAAAGGAUUUCUCUCUGUCUGUUCUGGGGGGCUUUAUCUCACUCUGUCCGUCUGGUCAGAUCACUCUGUGUCUGUACUAGUAGAGGAUAAUUCUCGCGGCCUUUGUGGCUGCGUUUGCUAUAUGUAAAGCCCCUUUGAACGUGUUUAUCAUGAAAAUGGCUCUAUAUAAAUCUGGUAUAAUAAUUAUUAUUUUUAUUAUUAUUUCAUCACGAGCGGACACCUGGAUAGAACCACCGACCUUCAGUAAGUUUGCUAGAGGUUAUCUCACAUGAAGAAUUCAACGCCUUAAGUAAGCUCGAACUUAUGUAGGUAAGGGGCAAGUGAUUUGAAGUCAACAACCUUAACCACUCUCAGAUCGUUUUUAAUCGCAGAUAUGAACUUACAAUCUUAAUUCAUUAUGAGCUAGCAUUUUCCUAAGAUACUGUUUGAAUUUCAAUUCGGCGUGCAAAAUAAUAGGGGACAUUGAUCGGAUAAAUCCAGGUCCAGCAGUCAUUACAAGUGUGCAUGUUCACCUGAUAAAUGAAAUAAAUAAAUCUGAGGUUAGUCUCGGGAUUUUAGCGAACCUCUGACCGAUUAGAAUGAUAUAACAGUUUACUGCACAAAAAUAUCAACAGAGCUAAGAAAGAAAAAAUUUAAAUCCAAAACUAGAAUGGACAUUUUGAGGGUAGAAAAAAUUAAAUGAACAUGUAAAAGUGCAAUAGAAAGAUCUCUUUGGUUUGUUUUAAAUGAUUGGGGAUAUAAUAUUAUUAAUAGUUUUC